rnacentral:rRNA from 1 species
GACGAACCGUGCAAACGUUGUUCGGAUUCACUGGGCUUAAAGGGCGCGUAGGCGGGCGGUCAAGUCAGGGGUGAAAUCUUUCGGCUCAACCGGAAAAGUGCCUCUGAUACUGGCGGACUUGAGGACAGGAGAGGAACGCGGAAUUCCAGGUGUAGCGGUGAAAUGCGUAGAUAUCUGGAGGAACACCGGUGGCGAAGGCGGCGUUCUGGACUGUUUCUGACACUGAAAAACGAAAGCCAGGGGAGCAAACGGG